GGUCCUACGGGGGGCAGCAGUGGGGAAUAUUGCACAAUGGGGGGAACCCUGAUGCAGCAACGCCGCGUGAGUGAAGAAGUAUUUCGGUAUGUAAAGCUCUAUCAGCAGGGAAGAAGAUGACGGUACCUGAGUAAGAAGCCCCGGCUAACUACGUGCCAGCAGCCGCGGUAAUACGUAGGAUGCGAGCGUUAUCCGGAUUUAUUGGGUUUAAAGGGUGCGCAGGCGGUCUGUUAAGUCAGCGGUCAAAGCCCGGGGCUCAACCCCGGCCCGCCGUUGAAACUGGCAGUCUCGAGUUGGAGAGAAGU
rnacentral:rRNA from 1 species